AGAUGUCAUCCACCUGAUUUAAAAACCCAUAAAUCUAGGACCACGGAGUAAAGUUUUGAAGUGAAUAAAAACUAAAUCAGUUAGCCUGACUUAAAAAGGAAUUAUUUAUAAUUAAAAAAAUAAAAAUUAGCUCGCUCUCUCUUCUCUGCGAAAACACAAUUCAUUCUCUCUUGUUUUUCAUUUCACAAACACACACACACUGAAGAACCCUAAACACAAACUUCUCUCUCUAUCUCCGCUGUAUUUUCACGAAAAAACCCUAAACACUUUCUCACUUUCUCUCUGCGACGAACAUGGCUUCCUUCUCUGAGCACAGUCUCUGCGACGACGAACACGAACGGGACUUCCGAUUCACCCACCGCUUUUGGUCUUCUCAUUCCAACAUCUGCCGGCAUCUCUUUUGUUGAGAUCUCGCCACCACUCUCAUUGCUUAGAUUGUUGAUCCAUUUCCUACAUGAAAACCAAUAUGUUCCACAUUAACCUGAUUAAUACAAGGCAACUAGCUUUCUUUACUGGACCUGCUGUUGGGUGGGGGGCAAUCGGAGCGAUCCAUUCAUUUGUUUUCGCACUGCAAUUUCACGAUCGACAUUUGGUAUGCAGUGUUCUGAUGCAUGGGUCUGGUCGUCAUCAUUCCUUCAGACUUACUCUCCCUAUUUAGUUCUUUGGUAAUGUCUUGUGUUGGUAAGAAAAUUUGUAGUGGUUUUGGGCUUUUGGCAGGCUAGCAGGUUUUUUGGUGUUCUACUUUGUUUCUGUUAGCUAUUUCAUGCUAAACUUUUUAAGUUUGAUACUUUCUAAUUCUGUCUUUUUUUCACUUUUAUUGUCUUCAUUGGUUCUUAUCCAAAUUUCAAUAUAGUAGAUUCCCAAAAUAGAGUUUGUAAGUGGUUCUGACUCUGGUAAGACAGAUGCUCCAAAAUAGACAUUUAUUCAAUCCCUAAUAGAGUUUGUAAGUUUGAUACUUUCUAAUUCUGUCUUUUUUUAUUGGGAUUGACUUAGGUAGAUUUAUACAAGCCUCUGUGCUCCCUGAAGUUGAGAACCACAUUUAAGAAUUGAAAGAAAUAUUUGCAUGCUGAAAGAGUUUUCAAGGGUCCUCUUCGCCGUUGCCGCCAUCUUCGCAUUCAGUCGUUGUUAGCUUUCUCAUCAUCUUCAUCUAUCGACACUUCUUAACCUAUAGUUUGGAUUGCACCAAAAUUCUGGUGUUGUCGCAUUUACAUGGCUAUGUUAAGUACUUGCAGAUUCAAGUAAAUGCCCCUUUUAGGUCCUAAUGUUGUGAUUAAUUCCAAAUAGAUGCUCUGUAAAUGCACCUUUAAAGGCCUAAAAAUAAACAAAAAUAUCACACAACUUGAUCAUCGAUGGGUUGAAUGUAUAUAACAUUCUAGAACCAUGCUAUCAUGGCAUCGAGGCAGAUAAAAUUAUCACAUCCCUUUAUUAGGUUAUCGUCUAGUUUCUUGGAGUUAGAUGAGACUGACAAACGUCAUCCUGUGAGGAAGAGAAUGUUUGGUCAGUCUUGGCCUCUAAGAGCACCUGGGAGAGAUGGAAAUGUACCAACUUGGCCACAACUUAUCAAUAGCAAUAAUGUUCCAUGCACAAUAUGUUUCUUUACUACUAUCUAAGUUUCUAUAUUUACCAUUUACCAUUUAUUUAAUAUCUACUUCUUAGCUACUGAUUGAUUUCAUUGCUUGAUUAUUGCCAAA